UACGUAGGGUGCGAGCGUUGUCCGGAAUUAUUGGGCGUGAAGAGCUCGUAGGCGGUGUGUCACGUCGGCCGUGAAAACCUGCAGCUUAACUGUGGGCGUGCGGUCGAUACGGGCAUCACUGGAGUUCGGCAGGGGAGACUGGAAUUCCUGGUGUAGCGGUGAAAUGCGCAGAUAUCAGGAGGAACACCGGUGGCGAAGGCGGGUCUCUGGGCCGAUACUGACGCUGAGGAGCGAAAGCGUGGGGAGCAAACAGG
rnacentral:rRNA from 1 species